rnacentral:misc_RNA from 1 species
GUGAAUCAUCGAAUUUUUGAACGCAAAUUGCACUCUCUUCUGAGAGGAUGCCUGUUUGAGUGUCAGCCUAAAAAACAAUCGACAUAGUCGCUGUUUUGCGGUAACAUUCGUCGGGAAUUGGGUCAUCUUAAACCUUUGGGUUUUAAGCAGCGUAAAAUUUUCUUUUCUAUUCCACGAACGU